rnacentral:rRNA from 1 species
UAAAACGUAGGAGGCGAGCGUUAUCCGGAUUUACUGGGCGUAAAGGGCAAGUAGGCGGUUACAAAAGUUGGGCGUGACAACUCCCGGCUCAACUGGGAGGGGACGAACAAAACUAGGUAACUAGAGGGCAGGAGAGGGAAGCGGAAUUCCGAGUGUAGCGGUGGAAUGCUCAGAUAUUCGGAGGAACACCAGUGGCGAAGGCGGCUUCCUGGCCUGCACCUGACGCUGAUAGGCGAAAGCUAGGGGAGCGAACGGG